GAUGAACGCUGGCGGCGUGCCUAAUACAUGCAAGUCGAGCGAACAGACGAGGAGCUUGCUCCUCUGACGUUAGCGGCGGACGGGUGAGUAACACGUGGAUAACCUACCUAUAAGACUGGGAUAACUUCGGGAAACCGGAGCUAAUACCGGAUAAUAUAUUGAACCGCAUGGUCCAAUAGUGAAAGACGGUUUUGCUGUCACUUAUAGAUGGAUCCGCGCCGCAUUAGCUAGUUGGUAAGGUAACGGCUUACCAAGGCAACGAUACGUAGCCGACCUGAGAGGGUGAUCGGCCACACUGGAACUGAGACACGGUCCAGACUCCUACGGGAGGCAGCAGUAGGGAAUCUUCCGCAAUGGGCGAAAGCCUGACGGAGCAACGCCGCGUGAGUGAUGAAGGUCUUCGGAUCGUAAAACUCUGUUAUUAGGGAAGAACAAAUGUGUAAGUAACUAUGCACGUCUUGACGGUACCUAAUCAGAAAGCCACGGCUAACUACGUG
rnacentral:rRNA from 1 species